GCCCAAAGAAGGGACGAGGCCAUUGUCAGUCCUAGGAAAGGGGACUGCGAGGAGCUCGACAGGCGCGCAGCCUUUCCCUGGGAGCGCGUGGAAGGAAGGCAGCGCGAGCCAGGCCUGGGAGGAAGAGAGCUGGGGCAGGUGAAGUACUUUGGCCUGUAGCUGAUUGCAAGAGCCUUCAGGAAAGCAUAAGAAUAAAAUGAUAACUGUCUGUGAAUGACAAAAGACUUAAAGUGGCCAUGGUUGAAGAUCUGAUGAGAGUUCAUUUUAACUCAACUGACAAGGAAAUUUUGUUGCUUCUGUGACAUCCAACAUUUUAAGAUAAUAAGUAGAAUUAUGACUGAUAACAUUAUACCAGGACACGUCAUGAACGGCAAGCUGCGACUUCACCGUGUGGCCCCAGGUGUGCUGUGUAUCCUCCGUGAUCUCUUAACCAUGGAUGCAAGAGGCAUCUCCAAAGAGAGUGCAAAAGAUGCAGCCACACGAUCCAGAGUCACUCCCACAGACAGCCGCAGAAGACAGAUGUCAAUGAACACCCUGAGAGCUGGCAACAAUCAAUGAGAUGGCAGCCACAAUAUUUCUGUUCAGCUAACUACAAAUUUUGGGGUCCCCCAACCUGAUAGUUGGCUGCCUAUAGAUGCAGCCCUGACAACCCGGUGCCCCCGGCAGGCAGAAAGUCAAAUCAAGCUUUCAGACAUAAAAUGAGGCAAACAGGAAAGCAAUGGCUGUCCCUGGGAAAGAAAGAAUCAAUGACCCAUGAGUACUCAAGACCAAGAGUCACCCAAGAGUAAUACCCAAAGAAGUAGAUCCUUCCAGUGUUUUCUCCUGGACGAGGAGCGCUCUUACUGCCCUCAUCUGAUCAGACUCCAAGCAAAAUUCCGAGAGGCUGACUUGGUAAGAUUUUUCACUUUUGGCAAGCUUUGUCCAGCAUCCUGAGUUCUCAGCUAC
rnacentral:lncRNA from 1 species